CUUUUAUUUUCCACCCAAAGCAGGGACCGUGAUGAUGGAAAUUGCAGCCUUUGCGAGAACUCCCAUGUAAGGUUUGCAAGUGUUGUCUUGAAACGCUUCAGGUCUCUGGCGGUGGACAGCUGCCUCCUGUAUUCCUUUGUGUGACAAGAGGCUGGGUGGGUGCUGGGACACUUCUGCUGUGCCCUGGAUAAAUGAGAAGUGACCGUGUCUUUCUCGUUUUACUUUCAGCUCACUCCGGUUGGCACCACAAUAUUUACAGGGUUUUCAGGAGACAAUGGAGCUACAGACAUAGAUGAUGGACCAAACGGGCAGAUAGAAUACGUCAUCCAGUACAAUCCGGAGGACCCGACAUCCAAUGACACCUUUGAAAUCCCCCUCAUGUUGACCGGGAAUGUGGUGUUAAGGAAGAGGCUCAACUAUGAAGACAAGACUCGGUACUUUGUCAUCAUCCAAGCUAAUGACCGGGCACAAAAUCUGAAUGAGCGGCGAACCACCACCACCACCCUCACGGUGGAUAUUCUGGACGGAGAUGACUUGGGUCCGAUGUUUCUUCCUUGUGUCCUUGUGCCGAACACUCGUGACUGUCGCCCGCUCACCUACCAAGCUGCCAUACCUGAGCUCAGAACUCCGGUAAAUAUACUCCCAU